CCUACGGGAGGCUGCAGUGGGGAAUAUUGCACAAUGGGCGCAAGCCUGAUGCAGCCAUGCCGCGUGUGUGAAGAAGGCCUUCGGGUUGUAAAGCACUUUCAGCGGGGAGGAAGGCGUUAAGGUUAAUAACCUUGUCGAUUGACGUUACCCGCAGAAGAAGCACCGGCUAACUCCGUGCCAGCAGCCGCGGUAAUACGGAGGGUGCAAGCGUUAAUCGGACUUACUGGGCGUAAAGCGCACGCAGGCGGUCUGUCAAGUCGGAUGUGAAAUCCCCGGGCUCAACCUGGGAACUGCAUUCGAAACUGGCAGGCUAGAGUCUUGUAGAGGGGGGUAGAAUUCCAGGUGUAGCGGUGAAAUGCGUAGAGAUCUGGAGGAAUACCGGUGGCGAAGGCGGCCCCCUGGACAAAGACUGACGCUCAAGUGCGAAAGCGUGGGGAGCAAACAGGAUUAGAUACCCUAGUAGUC
rnacentral:rRNA from 1 species